AUGAACGCUAGCUACAGGCUUAACACAUGCAAGUCGAGGGGCAUCAGGAAGAAAGCUUGCUUUCUUUGCUGGCGACCGGCGCACGGGUGAGUAACACGUAUCCAACCUGCCCUUUACUCGGGGAUAGCCUUUCGAAAGAAAGAUUAAUACCCGAUAGCAUAAUGAUUCCGCAUGGUUUCAUUAUUAAAGGAUUCCGGUAAAGGAUGGGGAUGCGUUCCAUUAGGUUGUUGGUGAGGUAACGGCUCACCAAGCCUUCGAUGGAUAGGGGUUCUGAGAGGAAGGUCCCCCACAUUGGAACUGAGACACGGUCCAAACUCCUACGGGAGGCAGCAGUGAGGAAUAUUGGUCAAUGGGCGCUAGCCUGAACCAGCCAAGUAGCGUGAAGGAUGAAGGCUCUAUGGGUCGUAAACUUCUUUUAUAUAAGAAUAAAGUGCAGUAUGUAUACUGUUUUGUAUGUAUUAUAUGAAUAAGGAUCGGCUAACUCCGUGCCAGCAGCCGCGGUAAUACGGAGGAUCCGAGCGUUAUCCGGAUUUAUUGGGUUUAAAGGGAGCGUAGAUGGAUGUUUAAGUCAGUUGUGAAAGUUUGCGGCUCAACCGUAAAAUUGCAGUUGAUACUGUCAGUCUUGAGUACAGUAGAGGUGGGCGGAAUUCGUGGUGUAGCGGUGAAAUGCUUAGAUAUCACGAAGAACUCCGAUUGCGAAGGCAGCUCACUGGACUGCAACUGACACUGAUGCUCGAAAGUGUGGGUAUCAAACAGGAUUAGAUACCCUGGUAGUCCACACAGUAAACGAUGAAUACUCGCUGUUUGCGAUAUACAGUAAGCGGCCAAGCGAAAGCAUUAAGUAUUCCACCUGGGGAGUACGCCGGCAACGGUGAAACUCAAAGGAAUUGACGGGGGCCCGCACAAGCGGAGGAACAUGUGGUUUAAUUCGAUGAUACGCGAGGAACCUUACCCGGGCUUAAAUUGCAGUGGAAUGAUGUGGAAACAUGUCAGUGAGCAAUCACCGCUGUGAAGGUGCUGCAUGGUUGUCGUCAGCUCGUGCCGUGAGGUGUCGGCUUAAGUGCCAUAACGAGCGCAACCCUUAUCUUCAGUUACUAACAGGUCAUGCUGAGGACUCUGGAGAGACUGCCGUCGUAAGAUGUGAGGAAGGUGGGGAUGACGUCAAAUCAGCACGGCCCUUACGUCCGGGGCUACACACGUGUUACAAUGGGGGGUACAGAAGGCAGCUAGCGGGUGACCGUAUGCUAAUCCCAAAAUCCUCUCUCAGUUCGGAUCGAAGUCUGCAACCCGACUUCGUGAAGCUGGAUUCGCUAGUAAUCGCGCAUCAGCCACGGCGCGGUGAAUACGUUCCCGGGCCUUGUACACACCGCCCGUCAAGCCAUGGGAGCCGGGGGUACCUGAAGUACGUAACCGCAAGGAUCGUCCUAGGGUAAAACUGGUGACUGGGGCU
rnacentral:rRNA from 1 species